CUACUGAGGAGGAGCUUGCGCGAGCGCACCUCAUUCGGCUCUCCCACACUCUGAGGAGAUUUACACCACUUGACAAACCUGUGAGCUCUACAGCAUCUUCUACAACGCAUUGACCCACUCUUCCCUAGCACCUCACCCGAUUGACCAACGCUCUCCUAACACCACGCCUGACCAACGCUCCCCUAACACACACACAUUGACCAACGCUCCCCUAACACCACGCCUGACCAACGCUCCUAUAACACCACGCCUGACCAACGCUCUCCUAACACCACACCUGACCAACGCUCCUAUAACACCACGCCUGACCAACGCUCCCCUAACACACACACAUUGACCAACGCUCCCCUAACACCACGCCUGACCAACGCUCCUAUAACACCACGCCUGACCAACGCUCUCCUAACACCACACCUGACCAACGCUCCUAUAACACCACACCUGACCAACGCUCCUAUAACACCACGCCUGACCAACGCUCUCCUAACACCACACCUGACGAACGCUCCUAUAACACCACGCCUGACCAAUGCUCCCCUAACACACACACAUUGACCCACGCUCCCCUAACACCACGCCUGACCCACAUCACGAAUUGACCCACGCUCCCCAAACAUCACAAAUUGACCCACGCUCCCCAAACAUCACGAAUUGACCCACGCUCCCCAAACAUCACGAAUUGACCCACGCUCCCCAAACAUCACGAAUUGACCCACGCUCCCCAAACAUCACGAAUUGACCCACGCUCCCCAAACAUCACGAAUUGACCCACGCUCCCCAAACAUCACGAAUUGACCCACGCUCCCCUAACACCACGCCUGACCCACGCUCCCCUAACAUCACAAAUUGACCCACGCUCCCCAAACAUCACGAAUUGACCCACGCUCCCCUAACACACACACAUUGACCCACGCUCCCCAAACAUCACGAAUUGACCCACGCUCCCCAAACAUCACGAAUUGACCCACGCUCCCCUAACACACACACAUUGACCCACGCUCCCCUAACACCACGCCUGACCAACGCUCCCCUAACAUCACGAAUUGACCCACGCUCCCCAAACAUCACAAAUUGACCCACGCUCCCCUAACAUCACAAAUUGACCCACGCUCCCCUAACAUCACGAAUUGACCCACGCUCCCCAAACAUCACGAAUUGACCCACGCUCCCCAAACAUCACGAAUUGACCCACGCUCCCCAAACAUCACGAAUUGACCCACGCUCCCCAAACAUCACGAAUUGACCCACGCUCCCCUAACACCACGCCUGACCAACGCUCCCCUAACAUCACGAAUUGACCCACGCUCCCCAAACAUCACGAAUUGACCCACGCUCCCCAAACAUCACGAAUUGACCCACGCUCCCCUAACAUCACGAAUUGACCCACGCUCCCCAAACAUCACGAAUUGACCCACGCUCCCCAAACAUCACGAAUUGACCCACGCUCCCCAAACAUCACGAAUUGACCCACGCUCCCCUAACACCACGCCUGACCAACGCUCCCCUAACAUCACGAAUUGACCCACGCUCCCCAAACAUCACGAAUUGACCCACGCUCCCCAAACAUCACGAAUUGACCCACGCUCCCCAAACAUCACGAAUUGACCCACGCUCCCCAAACAUCACGAAUUGACCCACGCUCCCCAAACAUCACGAAUUGACCCACGCUCCCCUAACACCACAAAUUGACCCACGCUCCCCUAACACCACGCCUGACCAACGCUCCCCUAACAUCACGAAUUGACCCACGCUCCCCAAACAUCACGAAUUGACCCACGCUCCCCAAACAUCACGAAUUGACCCACGCUCCCCAAACAUCACGAAUUGACCCACGCUCCCCUAAUACACACACAUUGACCCACGCUCCCCUAACACCACGCCUGACCAACGCUCCCCAAACAUCACAAAUUGACCCACGCUCCCCUAACAUCACCUCCAUAACCUGCUCUGAACCCUGUUUUUACUGUUGCAAAUUUCCUGUUGUCACUUUUUUACAGGUCUGACAUUUUCAACAGACUGUUGAACCUACCUCAUCUACAGUUGAAGACAGAAACUUCACCCAUAAUUUUUUUCAUAAAUUAUUAAAAGCCUAUUCAUUUUGACAACACA